rnacentral:rRNA from 1 species
GAUGAACGCUGGCGGCGUGCCUAAUACAUGCAAGUCGAGCGAACGGACGAGAAGCUUGCUUUUCUGAUGUUAGCGGCGGACGGGUGAGUAACACGUGGAUAACCUACCUAUAAGACUGGGAUAACUUCGGGAAACCGGAGCUAAUACCGGAUAAUAUUUUGAACCGCAUGGUUCAAAAGUGAAAGACGGUCUUGCUGUCACUUAUAGAUGGAUCCGCGCUGCAUUAGCUAGUUGGUAAGGUAACGGCUUACCAAGGCAACGAUGCAUAGCCGACCUGAGAGAGUGAUCGGCCACACUGGAACUGAGACACGGUCCAGACGCCUACGGGAGGCAGCAGUAGGGAAUCUUCCGCAAUGGGCGAAAGCCUGACGGAGCAACGCCGCGUGAGUGAUGAAGGUCUUCGGAUCGUAAAACUCUGUUAUUAGGGAAGAACAUAUGUGUAAGUAACUGUGCACAGCUUGACGGUACCUAAUCAGAAAGCCACGGCUAACUACGUG